GAGUUUGAUCCUGGCUCAGAACGAACGCUUGCUGCAUGCUUAAUACAUGCAAGUCGAACGAAGGCCCUAGCUUGCUAGGUGUCCUUAGUGGCGCACGGGUGAGUAACACGUGGGAACUUACCUCAGAGUACGGAAUAACUAUGGGAAACUAUAGCUAAUACCGUAUAUUCCGGAAACGGGAAAGAUUUAUCGCUCUGAGAUAGGCCCGCGCAAGAUUAGCUUGUUGGUGAGGUAAUGGCUCACCAAGGCUCCGAUCUUUAGCUGGUUUGAGAGGAUGAUCAGCCACACUGGGACUGAGACACGGCCCAGACUCCUACGGGAGGCAGCAGUAGGGAAUAUUGGACAAUGGGGGAAACCCUGAUCCAGCAAUGCAGCGUGAGUGACGAAGGCCUUAGGGUUGUAAAACUCUUUCAUCUGUGAGGAUAAUGACAGUAGCAGAAUAAGAAGGACCGGCUAAUUCCGUGCCAGCAGCCGCGGUAAUACGGAAGGUCCUAGCGUUGUUCGGAAUUACUGGGCGUAAAGAGUAUGUAGGCGGAACAGAAAGUUAGAAGUGAAAUCCCUGGGCUCAACCUAGGAAUUGCUUUUAAAACUUCUGUUCUUGAAUUCAGGAGAGGAUAGUGGAAUUUCCAGUGUAGAGGUGAAAUUCGUAGAUAUUGGAAGGAACACCAGUGGCGAAGGCGGCUAUCUGGACUGACAUUGACGCUGAGAUACGAAGGCAUGGGUAGCAAACGGGAUUAGAUACCCCGGUAGUCCAUGCAGUAAACGAUGGAUGCUAGUCGUCGGACUUUUGUUCGGUGUCGUAGCUAACGCGUUAAGCAUCCCGCCCUGGGGAGUACGGUCGCAAGAUUAAAACUCAAUAAAUUGACGGGACCCGCACAAGUAGUGGAGCAUGUGGUUUAAUUCGACGCAACGCGAAGAACCUUACCAGCGUUUGACAUGGAAAGUACCGGGUUACAGAAUGNNACCUUCAGUUCGGCUGGCUUUCACACAGGUGCUGCAUGGCUGUCGUCAGCUCGUGUCGUGAAAAUGUUGGGGUUAAGUCCCGCAACGAGCGCAACCCUUAUUCGUUUAGUUANCUAAACAGUUC
rnacentral:rRNA from 1 species